UACAGAGACUGCAAGCGUUAUUCGGAUUCACUGGGCGUAAAGGGUGCGUAGGUGGCGCGGUAAGUCGGGUGUGAAAUCUCGGGGCUCAACCCCGAAACUGCACUUGAUACUGCCUUGCUCGAGUACUGGAGAGGAGAUUGGAAUUUACGGUGUAGCAGUGAAAUGCGUAGAUAUCGUAAGGAAGACCAGUGGCGAAGGCGAAUCUCUGGACAGUUACUGACACUGAGGCACGAAGGCCAGGGGAGCAAACGGG
rnacentral:rRNA from 1 species